AUUAAAAUUUUUUUUGUAGUCUUAAGUAGCAAUUUCUUUUUUAGCUUAGGGUAUUGUAAAAUAGUUGUUACAAAUUUAUUUCUUAUAAAUAAACCUAAGUACAUUCAAAACAUAUUUUUUUCACUAGUAUUUAUAAUAUUGAGUUUAUAUAAAUUAACGAAUUGUGUUCAGUUGCGAAAAAUUUCUAUUUAGUGAAUAAUAUUUCAUUUUAAAAUUUUUUAUGUUCGUGUGAUUGACUUGAAAAAUUCAUAAACAUCUUUUUGUUAUAUUUUGAAAUAAUAGUUGGUUGAGAUAAGAUUUUCAACUAACUUUUUGAACUCUGGUUUUGUGGGUCGUUUUUACUUUAUCUUUUUCUUUAUCGAAGAUAGUGAUAUUAACAUCAUCUACUUUAGUUACAACGUGAAGACCCUGACAUAUAUUUUCAUGCUAGAUUCUGGGUUCUUUUUGUACCAGAACGAGAUCGUUUUCUUUAAUUUGUACUGGGCGAAAGUGUAUUAUACAAAACUUUGUUGCAGAUUUUAUGUAUGUUAAUUAAUUCUUUGGCUAUUGCACGUGAUUUUUGCAUCCGGUACUUAACCUCUUUUGCAUAAUUUUCAACAUUUUAAAUGGGAUCAGUUUUUCGUUUUUUUUUUCAAAUCGUGCGGUAAAGUCGGUGUUUUCCCGAAAACUGGUUCGAAUGGAGUAAAUUUAUUGUUAAAAACAGAAUUUGGAGUAGUAUUAUGCAAAAAAGUGAAAUACCUAAGAUAACUGUCCCAGUCAGAGAUAAGGUGUGUACUCGUAUUGAGAGGAAAAAGUUCUCCAGCAGCAAAUGUUCUGAGAAUUUACCAGCAUUCGCUCUCAAAGAGACGAAAUAUCAACAGAAGUACGAGAACGCAAUAUUUGCAAAAACUUGCAAGCAGCUAAACAGCUGAUUCAUUUGGUGGGAAAAAAUAAAGAAUAAAGAAUAAAAAUGGAAAAUAACAAUGAAUUAACAAUUAAUUGUUCCCCAGGAACUUUCAAAAAGAUUCAAGCAGGUAAGAAACGGAAAUUAUGAUUAUUAGACUAUAAGCAUUGUAAAUAAACACUUUUUAUUUACUUAUUGAAACCUGAAAAUCCAAAUUGUAGGCAGUGUGUAAUACAGCAAGGUGCCGGGGAAGAUACGUUUGGACAAAUAACGUUUUCCCAAAAAGAGCCAGAAAUAUCUAUCUAAGCAGGCUGCUUGUGCAUAUCAGCAAAAUGUGGAUACGGCCCCUAGAGAAUCGCCAGAUUUAGCAAAACCAUUGUGGUUGGAUGCGCCAUCGAGAUUUUUAAUCGAGAAGGUUUGGGAUUUAUGUCUAAGGGUUGGCAAAAGCGAUUCUCUAAAAAACACGAAGCAAAUGUGGACUACAACUCGCAAAGAACUUUGCGAAAUGGGAUACAUGUUUACGGCGGUGCAAGUGCAGACGAAAUUCUAUACCCUAGAACGGAACUGCAAGCAAGCGGCUUCGAAUAAAUCCAAAACGGGAAGGGCAAGACAGAUCUGCGCAUAUCAAAAUGAACUCCAGUCUUGACGUCAGCACUGGUGUAGAAGAAUUCUUAGAUGCGGCGCCAGCUACACCAGACGAGCCCGAUUUCACGCCGUCCACUUCCAACAAAAGGAAACCUUCGCCAGCUACACCAGGUACAUAUUAGAUGUCCCCGAUUUCACGCCGCACACCUCCAAAAGAAAGAAAACUUCGCUAGAGCGGUAUUUAGAAAAAAAGAAAAGUCAGAUGAAAGAUUGGAGAAACUGUUUGAGGAGAGUUUGAAGAGAAAGGCUUAUUUGAUGGAAAGGAAAGAGCAGAGGGAAAUAGAAAAACUGCUAAUAAUGAUGUCGAUAGCUGAUUUGCUGAAAAAGUAAAACCAUGGAACAAAUCCGAUCCAAACUGUCAUCAGUGUGUAAUACAGAAAGUGGCCGGGGAAGAUAAAAAGAACCAGAAAUGUCUAUCUAAGCAGCCUGCUUGUGCAUAUCAGCAAAAUGUGGAUACGGCCUCUAGAGAAUCGCCAGAUUUAGCAAAACCAUUGUGGUUGGAUGCGCCAACGAGAUUGGAAAAAGCGAUUCUCUAAAAAACACGAAGCAAAUGUGGACUACAAUUCGCAACGAACUUUGCGAAAUGGGAUACAUGUUUACGGCGGUGCAAGUGCAGACGAAAUUCUAUACCCUAGAACGGAACUACAAGCAAGCGGCUUCGAAUAAAUCCAAGACGGGAAGGGCAAGACAGAUCUGCGCAUAUCAAAAUGAACUCCACGAAAUAUUUAAAAAUAAGAAGUCGAUAUACCCUACAUGUGUCUUGGACAGCGAGAUGCCCAGUCUUGACGUCAGCACUGAUGUAGAAGAAUUGUAAGAUGCGGCGCCAGCUACACCAGACGAGCCCGAUUUCACGCCGUCCACUUCCAACAAAAGGAAAACUUCGCCAGCUAAACCAGCUUUUCGCGCUCUAAGAGAAAGGCUGAUUUGGGGGAAAGGAAAGAGCAGAGGGAAAUAGAAAAACUGCUAAUAAUGAAGUCGAUAGCUGAUUUGCUGAAAAAGUAAAACCAUGGUGAUUGCCAAAUGAGAAUUUGAACAAAUCCGGUAAACUUAUAGCUGAACACUUUGUUAUUUCCUAAAAAUUACUAGUUUGUAUAUGUAUACGCUUAAAUGAAAUGUGUAAGUCUGAACUUAAAAUUUAUGUUAAACGUUUAUUAGGUCGAACAGUGGUCCACAAAAUAAUAGGAGUGCGAUAUUUUGACCA